rnacentral:rRNA from 1 species
AGCGAACGCUGGCGGCAGGCCUAACACAUGCAAGUCGAACGGACCCUUCGGGGUUAGUGGCGGACGGGUGAGUAACACGUGGGAACGUGCCUUUAGGUUCGGAAUAGCUCCUGGAAACGGGUGGUAAUGCCGAAUGUGCCCUUCGGGGGAAAGAUUUAUCGCCUUUAGAGCGGCCCGCGUCUUAUUAGCUAGUUGGUGAGGUAACGGCUCACCAAGGCGACGAUCAGUAGCUGGUCUGAGAGGAUGACCAGCCACACUGGGACUGUGACACGGCCCAGACUCCUACGGGAGGCAGCAGUGGGGAAACUUGCGAAAUGGGCGAAAGCAUGACGCAGCCAUGCCGCGUGAAUGAUGAAGGUCUUAGGAUUGUAAAAUUCUUUCACCGGGGACGAUAAUGACGGUACCCGGAGAAGAAGCCCCGGCUAACUUCGU